GAUGAACGCUAGCUACAGGCUUAACACAUGCAAGUCGAGGGGCAGCAUGGUCUUAGCUUGCUAAGGCUGAUGGCGACCGGCGCACGGGUGAGUAACACGUAUCCAACCUGCCGUCUACUCUUGGCCAGCCUUCUGAAAGGAAGAUUAAUCCAGGAUGGGAUCAUGAGUUCACAUGUCCGCAUGAUUAAAGGUAUUUUCCGGUAGACGAUGGGGAUGCGUUCCAUUAGAUAGUAGGCGGGGUAACGGCCCACCUAGUCAACGAUGGAUAGGGGUUCUGAGAGGAAGGUCCCCCACAUUGGAACUGAGACACGGUCCAAACUCCUACGGGAGGCAGCAGUGAGGAAUAUUGGUCAAUGGGCGAUGGCCUGAACCAGCCAAGUAGCGUGAAGGAUGACUGCCCUAUGGGUUGUAAACUUCUUUUAUAAAGGAAUAAAGUCGGGUAUGCAUACCCGUUUGCAUGUACUUUAUGAAUAAGGAU
rnacentral:rRNA from 1 species